rnacentral:misc_RNA from 1 species
GAUGAAAACGCAGCGAAAUGCGAUAAGUAAUGUGAAUUGCAGAAUUCAGUGAAUCAUCGAAUCUUUGAACGCACAUUGCGCCCGCCAGUAUUCUGGCGGGCAUGCCUGUUCGAGCGUCAUUUCAACCAUCAAGCCCCCGGGCCUGUGUUGGGGACCUGCGGCUGCCCGCAGGCCCCGAAAACCAGUGGCGGGCUCGCUGUCACCCCGAGCGUAGUAGCUAACACCUCGCCCAGGGAGUGCCGCGGGUCCCGGCCGUAAAACCUAACACCUAAGGUUGACCUCGGAUCAGGUAGGAAGACCCGCUGAACUUAAGCAUAUCAAUAAGCGGAGGA